UACGUAGGGGGCUAGCGUUGUUCGGAAUUACUGGGCGUAAAGCGGGUGUAGGCGGAUCGCUAAGUCGGGGGUGAAAGCCCAGGGCUCAACCCUGGAAUUGCCUUCGAUACUGGCGGUCUUGAGUUCAGGAGAGGUGAGCUGAAUUCCAUGUGGAGAGGUGAAAUUCGUAGAUAUUCGGAGGACCACCAGAGGCGAAGGCGGCUCACUGGACUGAUACUGACGCUGAGACCCGAAAGCGUGGGGAGCAAACAGG
rnacentral:rRNA from 1 species